UCCGUAGGUGAACCUGCGGAAGGAUCAUUAAAGAAAUUUAAUAAUUUUGAAAAUGGAUUUUUUUGUUUUGGCAAGAGCAUGAGAGCUUUUACUGGGCAAGAAGACAAGAGAUGGAGAGUCCAGCCGGGCCUGCGCUUAAGUGCGCGGUCUUGCUAGGCCUGUAAGUUUCUUUCUUGCUAUUCCAAACGGUGAGAGAUUUCUGUGCUUUUGUUAUAGGACAAUUAAAACCGUUUCAAUACAACACACUGUGGAGUUUUCAUAUCUUUGCAACUUUUUCUUUGGGCAUUCGAGCAAUCGGGGCCCAGAGGUAACAAACACAAACAAUUUUAUUUAUUCAUUAAAUUUUUGUCAAAAACAAGAAUUUUCGUAACUGGAAAUUUUAAAAUAUUAAAAACUUUCAACAACGGAUCUCUUGGUUCUCGCAUCGAUGAAGAACGCAGCGAAAUGCGAUACGUAAUGUGAAUUGCAGAAUUCCGUGAAUCAUCGAAUCUUUGAACGCACAUUGCGCCCCUUGGUAUUCCAGGGGGCAUGCCUGUUUGAGCGUCAUUUCCUUCUCAAACAUUCUGUUUGGUAGUGAGUGAUACUCUUUGGAGUUAACUUGAAAUUGCUGGCCUUUUCAUUGGAUGUUUUUUUUCCAAAGAGAGGUUUCUCUGCGUGCUUGAGGUAUAAUGCAAGUACGGUCGUUUUAGGUUUUACCAACUGCGGCUAAUCUUUUUUAUACUGAGCGUAUUGGAACGUUAUCGAUAAGAAGAGAGCGUCUAGGCGAACAAUGUUCUUAAAGUUUGACCUCAAAUCAGGUAGGAGUACCCGCUGAACUUAAGCAUAUCAAUAAGCGGAGGA
rnacentral:rRNA from 1 species